UGUGAAAGGCAUGAAGAGCUGUUAUGUGGUAUUUCAAAGCCUGUAUUACUGGUGUAUCCCUGCACUCACCUCCAAGAUGAAAUUGCUAUUCUGCUCUUGCUUGGAAAAAGUCAUAAUUCAGGAUUGCUGGUUUGGCCCUGUUCCUUCUGAUUCAGCUUUCAUGGGUAAAAAUUCACUGCUACAGCAGCUAUGGGAGUGAAGGGGAUCGGACUUGGUGUUCUCUCCUAGGCCCUCUCGUUCAGUGUACAGAGGUCCUAUGGAGAUGAAGAAGAAGGAGUACAGAGGAAAUUCAGGGCAGCAAAAGGCAGGGUAAGGACUGAAGUGUCUUCCAGAGUGUGAUGGAAAGAACAGCACCAAUCCUAAAAGCAAAGGAACAAACAGCUGCUUUAGCAGAAGUAGGUCCUGUCUAUAUCAGGAAAGAUCUGCAGAUUACAGCAGGAAUUAACCACAGCUUUCCCAAAAGCUCUCACGUGACUUGAGUCCAAGCUGGAUUCGGGAUGCUGCAAAGCUGUCAGGAUGCUGCAAAAGACAUUGUUGCAUCUUCUUACUGAAGAGUUGGAGAAGUUUCUCGGUGUGCAGGGAAUACAACAUUUAUGGACAGGAAAGUGGUUUCCUUGAUUUGUGGUUUUCUUGUUGCUGGUCUUUGUUAAAGGGUUUAACACUCUUAGAUCCAGGAAACUGAAACUAGAUGUGAACAGGGUUGGAGGGAGGAGGCAGGGAGAAUCCCAUAUAAGAUUCAAAUUUGUCUGAUUUCUGGGGAAACUAAAUAAAGCCGGAUUCAAUUGCCAGUGGCUAAAUAACAGUCAUUUAUGAGCUGUUCAUCAAAAGCCCCAGUCAAGCACUGAGUACUGUUGGAAGCUGGAAAUUGACACUGGGCACCUCCAAAAGACUCCAUUGUUGAAACUUACUUUAAACAUUUUUUCAAGUGGAGCAUUUAGUCCUGGCAAAUGCAUAAGGUCAGCCCUUAUAAGAAUAAAUAGCUUUCUCUAGAGGAUCUAACAAGUGGCCAAAGUCUGCCCAUUUGUCUGCCUGUCUUUUGAUCUUGGAUUACUGUGCUAUUUAAAACUGUGUUUUCAUAACUCAAGUAAAUGGUAGAUGUUUCACAUAGCUCU